rnacentral:rRNA from 1 species
AUAUAACGAAGCGAACAAGAGCGAACGGAGGAUGCCUAGGCUUUUGGAGACGAGGAAGGACGUGGUAAGCUGCGAAAAGCUCCGGGGAACCGCAAACAGGUUUUGAUCCGGAGACGUCCGAAUGGGGCAACCCAUGCAGAUGAAGUCUGCAUACCGAAAGGGGUCAACGCAGGGAACUGAAACAUCUUAGUACCUGCAGGAAAAGAAAGAAAACAUCGAUUUCCUGAGUAGUGGCGAGCGAAAAGGAAAAAGCCCAAACCGAUAUUGUUACGGCAAUGUCGGGGUUGUAGGAACGCGAUAAACAAACAAUGAGGAACUAGAAGUGACUGGAAAGUCGCACCGAAGAAGGUGAAAGUCCUGUAUAGGUAAGCACAUUGGGCGUUAGCGAACUCCUGAGUAAGGCGGGACACGAGGAAUCCUGUCUGAACCCGCGGGGACCAUCCCGCAAGGCUAAAUACUCCCAAAAGACCGAUAGAGAACCAGUACCGUGAGGGAAAGGUGAAAAGAACCCCGAACAGGGGAGUGAAAUAGUACCUGAAACCGUUCGUUUACAAGCUGUAGGAGCACGAAAGUGCGACUGCGUGCCUUUUGCAUAAUGAGCCUACGAGUUAUUCCAUAUUAGCAAGGUUAAGUUCUUCAGGAACAGGAGCCGUAGCGAAAGCGAGUCUGACAAGGGCGAAGAGUUAGUAUGGAUAGACGCGAAACCUAGUGAUCUACCCUUGGCCAGAAUGAAGUCUCCGUAACAGGAGAUGGAGGUUCGAACUAGUAUCCGUUGAAAAGGAUUUGGAUGAGCUGAGGGUAGGGGUGAAAGGCUAAUCAAACUGGGAGAUAGCUCGUACUCCCCGAAAUGUCUUUAGGGACAGCCUCAGUAUAGCUUCAUGGAGGUAGAGCGACUGAUAGGAUGCGAGGGCUUCAUCGCCUAUCAAUUCCUGACAAACUCCGAAUGCCGUGAAGUGUUUACUGGGAGUGAGUCGCCGGGUGCUAAUGUCCGGUGGCGAGAGGGUAAUAGCCCAGACCAACAGUUAAGGCCCUUGAACGUGACCUAAGUUUAAAGAACGAAGUGAUGUCGCAGAGACAGCUAGGAUGUUAGCUUGGAAGCAGCUAAUCAUUUAAAGAGUGCGUAACAGCUCACUAGUCGAGCGGCGUUGCGUGGAUAAUAAACGGGAAUCAAGGUCACUGCCGAAGCUAUGGACUCUGAGAAGAGUGGUAGGGGAGCAUUCCGGUCGGCGUAGAAGGUGAUACGUAAGUAUUGCUGGAGCGUCCGGAAAAGAAGAUGUAGGCAUAAGUAACGAUAAUGUAUGUAGAAACAUACACACCGAAAACCCAAGGUUUCCUGAACAACGUUAAACGGAUCAGGGUAAGUCGGGACCUAAGUCGAACCCAAAAGGGGCAGACGAUGGACAAAUGGUUAAUAUUCCAUUACCUGUUAAUAAGUACAAAGGAGUGACGGAGGAAUGACACACACGCCAGCAGACGGAAUAGCUGGUUAAAGGAGGUAGGUAAAUUCGAAGGUUAAGAGCUAUCGAGUGCUGAGAACUGAAAGUACACAGAGUCUUCGGACGAAGUGAUAGAUGUGGUAAGUAGACUCCCAAGAAAAACUUCGGCGAAUAAAUAUUAACAGCCCGUACCGUAAACCGACACAGGUGGGUGAGGAGAGAAUCCUAAGGUGCUCGAGUGAAUCAUGGCUAAGGAACUAGGCAAGAUAACCCCGUAACUUCGGGAGAAGGGGACCCUCAGCAAUGAGGGCGCAGAGAAAUGGCUCAGGCGACUGUUUACCAAAAACACAUGGCUUUGCAAAUUCGAAAGAAUACGUAUAAGGCCUGACACCUGCCCGGUGCCGGAAGGUUAAGAGGGGAUGUUAGAGGAAGCAAUGAAUCGAAGCAUUGAAUCGAAGCCCCGGUAAACGGCGGCCGUAACUAUAACGGUCCUAAGGUAGCGAAAUUCCUUGUCGGGUAAGUUCCGACCUGCACGAAUGGUGUAACGAUCUGAGCACUGUCUCGGCCAUGAGCUCGGUGAAAUUGUAGUAACGGUGAAG